rnacentral:rRNA from 1 species
UGCAGUCGAGCGGAUUUAUCCUUCGGGAUAAGUUAGCGGCGGACGGGUGAGUAACACGUAGGUAACCUGCCUAUAAGAUCGGGAUAACUAUCGGAAACGAUAGCUAAGACCGGAUAACUGGUUUUCUCGCAUGAGAGAAUUAUGAAACACGGAGCAAUCUGUGGCUUAUAGAUGGGCCUGCGGCGCAUUAGCUAGUUGGUAGGGUAACGGCCUACCAAGGCGACGAUGCGUAGCCGACCUGAGAGGGUGAACGGCCACACUGGGACUGAGACACGGCCCAGACUCCUACGGGAGGCAGCAGUAGGGAAUCUUCCGCAAUGGACGCAAGUCUGACGGAGCAACGCCGCGUGAGUGAUGAAGGUUUUCGGAUCGUAAAGCUCUGUUGCCCUAGACGAACAGCAAGGAGAGUAACUGCUCUUUGUGUGACGGUAUAGGAGAAGAAAGCCCCGGCUAACUACGUGCCAGCAGCCGCGGUAAUACGUAGGGGGCAAGCGUUGUCCGGAAUUAUUGGGCGUAAAGCGCGCGCAGGCGGUCAAUUAAGUUGGGUGUUUAAGCCCGGGGCUCAACCCCGGUUCGCAUCCAAAACUGGUUGACUUGAGUGUAGGAGAGGAAAGUGGAAUUCCACGUGUAGCGGUGAAAUGCGUAGAGAU